rnacentral:rRNA from 1 species
GUGUCAGCCGCCGCGGUAAGACGAACCGUACAAACGUUAUUCGGAAUUACUGGGCUUAAAGGGUGCGUAGGCGGCCCGGGAAGUUGGGUGUGAAAUACCUCGGCUUAACCGAGGAAUUGCGCUCAAAACUGCCGGGCUUGAGGAAGAUAGAGGUGAGCGGAACUUAGGGUGGAGCGGUGAAAUGCGUUGAUAUCCUAAGGAACACCGGUAGCGAAAGCGGCUCACUGGGUCUUCUCUGACGCUGAGGCACGAAAGCUAGGGGAGCGAAGAGGAUUAGAUACCCUCGUAGUCCUAGCUGUAAACAAUGAGCACUGGUUUGGAGGGUCCUCCAUAGCCCUCCAGACGUAGCGAAAGUGUUAAGUGCUCCGCCUGGGGAGUAUGGUCGCAAGGCUGAA